rnacentral:misc_RNA from 1 species
CAUAGCCGCUCCCCGGGCAACGAAGGAGGAGAAGCCGACGAACCACUCUCUCUUCCUCUCUCCCUCAACUGUCGCUCUCUCUUUUCGUUUCUCGUUCUCUCUGUCUCUGUCCGACGGGUGUCCCGGGUGUCCGCGUUGCGGUACGCGUUUCUCGGCGGCGGCGUCGUUCUAACCUACAUCCCGGGGUCUGGAGUAUCAACCAGCGUGACUCGUCGUCUCGCACGCGCGCGGACCGACGAUCGUACGACCGACCGGACGAGCACCCGGCGGGGCGAGGAGAGAGUGACGUGGGAACCUGAACACGCGAUCUGUCUACGCGAGCGGCGUGUGCAUCUGACGAGAGUGCGUAGAGACGGUGCUGCUAACGAGACGUCGACGUCGUCAUCGACAACGACGACGAUCAAGGAGAGAGCGCGUAGAUGAGCAGCGAGCGAGAGCAACGUGGUGAACGCGCGGCACGUUGACGUUUCCCUUUAACAGCGGGCGGUGGAGAGAGCUUUGUGUGGGUGACCCAUCGACGUGGGUAACCGCUGUCCAGCAUCGAAUGCCAUUGAAAGCGCGAGGGUGAUCAGGGCUACGGUUUACGAUAGUGCCGGCCCAGGCAUUCGGAGAAUCCUAACGAUAAGUGGACGGCGACGCGGCUGGCCGAAACGCGGUGCGACCACUUGACGGCUGGAGAAUGCGGCACUUUCUAGAAGUUUGUGUUCGUACGUAUGAUCGCCGGCGUUUCGUAACUGACAUUAGAUACACGAUGCGUACUCGAUCGGAACGGGGGAACGGCGACGUGAUGUUCGUUGGCGAUCGCGAAUAGAAUUAGGAAUUCGUGAACGCGGUGGGAUCUUUCGGUGCGAAAGAAUUUGUGACGAGAGCCGUGAACUUGAACGAUACUCGAAAUUGUGUGCGCCAUGUCAGUGUAAGUGUUCGCUGUCAUUGGAUGAACGCGCUUCGUGCGAAUGGAACACACCGUGGUGUCCAUGCCGAUUCGUACGCGUUACCGACGCUGCGAUCGUCGACAAAACUCUAAACAUAAUUGAAAUAGAUUGUCUCACGUGAAAAAUGAAGAAUGCGAUUCGCAUACAACGACAAGUAUAAAUGCUUAAUUGGCAAUUAUUAAACUUUGAAAUGACGUAAGCGUAAAUACCGAGAUAGUAAAUUUAGAUACCGUUAAGCACGAUGCUAAGGAUUCAAAGUAUCACCUUUAAACGCACAUUAAUCUCACGUCCAAAAUGUUUAUCCGCUGUAGUGAUACAAGAGUGUCUUUGUGUUGACGCGAAUAAAUGAGAGUUCGAAGAACGAAGAAAAAGUGAUCGAAAUACGAUGAGUCCUUACGAUUGAAUUGCGAAAAUUAGUACUUGCUGGAGGAAAAAUCAAGUUCCGCAAAGAACUUUCUGUGCCAAUAAACUGCGAUUGUCCGUGUGAGAUUACGUUGCACAAUAAACCCACGCGUUUUAUGAGACGCAGUUUUCUAGAAGAAAAGCUCCACUCGAAAGGAGGGCUCACAGUCAAUAAUGUGCCGCCGAGUGUCUACAGAUCAAGUACGCACGACAUUCGCCGGAGAAUUUAAUUAAGCGUUCAAACACCUGGAAUACCUACAAGCCAAGCGCAUAGGUUCAAAAUUUCUCGCCAGUGGCAAAGUCGACCGUAUGGUCAGACGGUCAUCGCGAGCGUCACGAAUCGAACGACGCCUCGUAACGUAAUCAACUCUACAAACGACGAUAAGUGCAAACAUUUAAAUAUGAAUAGCUAUUUAUAGCGUGUUGUUUAAUUUCGGAAAUUUUCGAAAAAUUCGCUUCGCAAGUGGGACGCGACCUUCGUCUUUUUCCGUUCUUUGAUUCGACGCUUCAAAGUGCAACGCUGAUCGCUACGCUUUAGAGUACGGUGAAACCAAAGAAAGUAAGAAGCCGGACGCGAAGCAACACAUACCUGGUGACACGGUCUAUUGAUAGCUCGAUCACGGCGGCGUCAAGCAGCAACGUGUUGGCACGUGUGUGGCAUUAAGCGAACCACCGCGAACAAUAGAUCGUGAUAAUUCGAUUGCCGGUGCAUCUGACGCCUCAAGUUCCGGCUUUCACCUGUCCGAUAUAUCGUCUGUACGGCACGCGUGUAAUCGCGGCUCAUUAAGCGUUACGAGCUUAAACGGCGUUGGCUGGUUUGAUCGCGCCGCUCUGCUCGCCAUGUAACGACAUAACGACGUGUCUCGACAAGCCACGUGGAUUUUCCGGACGAUUCUGUGCGACAAAUUGCCGAUUCGAAGCGAUUACUGAUUUCGCCUCACGAUUGCACAAUUCAACAUUGCGUUGACGAAUCUCCGAGCCGAUCGCAAGUCGACGCGAAGUCGGCUUGACUUUCCGCAGCGGCCAAGAACAGUAUUCUUACUUCGCUUAUUGAAAGCGGAACGGAAUUCUGCCGCGGAAGUGUGCCGAUUAUUGCACAUUGCGAUACUCCGUGAAAGUGCCGUACUGUGAGGAAGUCCAAGUGUCGUUCGUCGAUCGUCGACCGAUCCGCCGAUCUUCCCCGGCAACGAGUUUCUCCUUCUCGGAUUCGUGAUGCCGCAGCGUCCUGAUCACGUCGUCGUUACGACACAUCACGAGCUGCGCGCGAAGAGAUAAUGAAAGCGGCCGCUCAACGUGUGCGAAAACAAGAGUAGAUAUCAUCGCGCCUCUCCUACGUCGUCACGUCAAGAACGAGCCUCCUGGCGUCGACGGGUCGGACGAAGAGUAUCGAGUGUAUCGCUGCGAGUGGUUAAACGUGCAGAAGAGUAGGCGAGAGCGCAGCGGCGGCACGUGAGACGAGUGUCGUCGCUCCGAGACACUUGUUGCACACCGGCCGUCCCUUAAAGAGGGUUUGCUGUCGGCGUCGAUAUCGGGCCACGGGCGUUCAUCGGUCGCGUGGGAAAGACACGGACUCCGUGGUUGUACGUCGUCGGUGCCGCGGUAAGCGCGAGGAGUGCGGGAACGCGUCCACGCCGGACGACGCGCCAUCGGUUCGAGCGUAGCCGCCGCGGCAUGUCGCUCGACGGGACGGUCGCGGAUGACCGCGUGGCGAGCGACGCGUGCCUCGUAUUACAUCCGUCGAUCGUCGUACGCGAGGAAGAACGCGCGGGCGCCGCCGUCCCGAUCGCGACGCUCGGUGGCCGUUAGCGUGUCGGUGGUAGCGAUCGACGCCGAAAGCGACGACGUGCUCGACAGGCGUCGCGUAGCAUGCCGUCGAUCGUCGCGCGACGACGACGUCGUAUUCCUUCUCAAUUGGUCGGCCGUCAUCACUGCUCUUCACGUCGGUGCGCGCGAACGCUCGAUCGGCACGAAUAAUAAUUAUAAUCGGUGACGCGACAAGCCGGAGACGCGAGAGUAGUUCGGCAGCAGAGGGCACGCAGACGCGUAACUCGAGGCUCGCUGAAUCGGUAUUGUACCGAGGAUCGAGAGAGAGAGAGAAAAGAGAGAGAGAGGGAGAAAGAGAGAGAAAGAGAGAGCGAUCAUGUGCCACGCUCGGUGACAUCGGUCGCGUUUGUGCGCGGCGUUACCGUUGGCGGUAUAACGUAGUCAGCGGAGAGAGCAGAGCUACCACUGCGGGGCAACUAUCACCACGUGGUGGAUAUCCCCGGGCGUGUAACCGGGCGGUUUCGGCCAGAACAAAAGGAAACGUAGACCGGAAGGCUGGAUCACCUCCGUGGAAUGUCUUCGGGCGCCAAGCGACUGGUGCAGUCGCUUAGGGGCCGGAGCGCGGGGAGGGGCGCCGGCGGCGGUCGUUCCGACGCCGGUGCCGGGGACGACAGCGGCGUCGGCGGCGGCGGCGGGGCCAGCACCAGCGCGACGAGACUGUGCCACUACGACAGUGGCCACGAGCUCGAUGAGAUCUCGGUGAUCGGGGCUAACGUGAGGAGCGAGGGGCUGACGACGCCCACCACACCGUGCCACUGCAGGAGCAUCAAAUACGGCAGCGGACAAACGCUUUGCAGCAUCCCCGGAUUACCUGCACCCACCGCAUCCGCGCACAGAGCACAGUCCGGCGUCAUCACAUCGACUGGUGUCGGUGUGAGGCAUCGUCUGAGUGUCGGCUCCGCGUCCGGUCUGAGCUGCGGGGGCGACAAGUACCGCGACGGCAGGAGUGGUAGGACCGGCGACGGCAGAGCCGGGGGCAGCGGCAGGGAGAAGGAGGAUGACACCAAGAGCGCGGAGAACGUGUCCAGGGGAGUUUUACCCUCGAGGCAAAGCCUCUUGGACCUCGUCAGCGGUAAAUUCAUGGGCCGACACACACCCACGCACCACUACUACUACCAGCAGCAGCAGCAGGUGUACUCUGUGUCGCAGCGAUACUUCAGCUCGUCGCGCGAUUCGCUUUCGGGCGCGUACGUGAACCGGGGAGCAAGCGAGCUCGAUCUGAGCCGUAAGCCAAGGAGAAGGGACCAGCUGAGGGGCAGAUUUAAGCUGCCGUACACAGUUGCGCUUACGGCCUCGCGCGACCAAUCGCACUUGCACACACCGGCGUCGGUCAAUCAUCUGAGCAACAGCAGCUGCAACGGCACUGAAACUAGAUAUACGGCACAUCAACAGCAACAGCAACGUGGUAGUAGAGGAUACCCUGGGCAAUCUGGAUCGAGGAAUUUUCGCACGGGCGCGCCGAAUUGGUCCUUCAUCUUCGAUCCUGCGGGACGCCUCUGUUACUAUUGGUCGAUGGUGGUUUCCCUUGCCUUUCUUUACAACUUCUGGGUGAUCAUCUAUAGGUUCGCCUUCCAGGAGAUCAACGGAGAGACUCGUUGGGUGUGGUUCUGCCUGGACUACUUCUCGGAUUUUUUAUACGUGCUCGACAUAAUAUUUCACAUUCGAACGGGAUACUUAGAAGAUGGCGUGUUACAAACCGACGCCACGAAACUGAGAAAUCAUUAUACGAACAGCACCACGUUUUACAUAGACAUCCUGUGCCUGCUGCCCCUCGACUUUUUAUACUUAUCUAUAGGAUUUAACAGUAUGCUGCGAAGUUUUAGACUCGUAAAAAUUUACCGGUUCUGGGCGUUCAUGGACAGAACUGAGCGACACACAAACUAUCCAAAUUUGUUUCGCUCCACCUCCUUGAUACAUUAUUUACUGGUGAUCUUUCACUGGAACGGGUGCCUCUAUCACAUUAUUUAUAAGAACAACGGCUUCGGCAGUAAGAACUGGGUGUUCAGCGACUCCGAAACGGCAGACGUUGUCAAGCAAUACUUGCAGAGCUACUACUGGUGCACACUUGCCCUGACGACCAUCGGUGAUCUUCCCAGGCCGAGAAGCAAGAGCGAAUAUCUUUUUGUGAUUGGUCAGCUGCUCUUCGGUUUGCUGCUAUUCGCAACGGUGCUGGGUCACGUCGCAAAUAUCGUCACAUCCGUCAGCGCGGCGCGGAAGGAGUUUCAGGCGAAGCUGGACGGCGUGAAGACGUACAUGAGGAUGAGGAGAGUGCCGAAUCAUUUGCAGGUGAAGGUUAUCAAAUGGUUCGACUAUCUGUGGCUGACGCAGAAGUGUUCCGACGAGGAGAAAGCAGUGAGUUGUCUUCCGGAUAAAUUGAAGGCAGAGAUCGCCAUAAACGUUCAUCUGGACACGCUGAGGAGAGUCGAGAUCUUUCAGAACACGGAAGCUGGCUUCCUGUGCGAGCUGGUGCUGCGACUACGGCCUGUUCUUUUCUCACCUGGCGACUACAUUUGCCGCAAAGGUGAGGUGGGAAAGGAGAUGUACAUAGUGAAUAGGGGCCGACUGCAGGUGGUGGCCGACAACGGGAAGACGGUGCUCGCCACCCUUAAGGCGGGUUCCUACUUCGGGGAGAUCAGCAUUCUCAAUAUGGGGACCGCAGGUAACCGGCGAACAGCCAGCGUGCGCUCGGUCGGCUACUCGGACCUCUUCGUCCUCAGCAAGAAGGACAUGUGGGACGUGCUCAAGGAAUAUCCGGCCGCCAGAGUACGCCUGGAAGCCAUCGCAGUCAAGAGGCUGGAGAAGUACAAGAGAGCUCCUCUGGAGAAAGCUGCUAUGGGCAGGUGCCAGAGCACACCCGGCCUGGUGGAAUCGCGAGGUCGCAUACCACUGGAGGAAAUGUGGAUAUCACCGGUCGACCUCAGGGCCACUCACGCGUACUCGACGGCCGCCUCGUUGUUCUCGCCGAGCCCGAGCCCGGUGACGGCGCGCCACUUGCCGACCGCGGGGACCCUGGCCGACGCGAACAACAUGCGUAGGGGUGCGGAGAGCCCGAUAAGCGCGGCCAGCAGCGGGCCCAGCAGCGAGGAUCAGACGGCCAGAGUGCCGCAAUCGGCCGCCACACAAGCCUCUACCGGAAGGCAGUCCACCCACUCCGAGCUAGAAGGCCUGACCUGCAACAGUAUGACGCAGCUGGUGAGCGAGGGCACAACACCUCUGUUCGGCACGCACGAAGGCUCGGCCGCUCUGCUAUCGGAAAUUCAGCGCCUCCGUGAGCGUCUGAAAUGCCUGGAAAGCGAAAACGCGGCGAUGAGCGUCAAGCUGAACCAGCAGCAAUGGGAGGUCGAACACCGGUUGGCCGAAAUCGAGAUGCAGAUCUGUGGCGCAAGCUCGACCUCGAGCGUCGAGGACAACAAUGAGAGAAACCGGGAAAGCAUUAUUUAACGAGAAACAAUGCCGCGAGAGCGCGGCAAGACCAAGAUCGAGCGAAUACGUCACUACCUUGUCGAAGCCGCUACCAGGUACACCGUCGGCGCUCAGCAACCUCCGGCGGAUGACGGGAGAGUCUUGAGCGACACAAAGUCGAUCGGCAGCCUGAGCCAGCA